rnacentral:piRNA from 1 species
AUAGAAGUCUUAAGUUUAACCUU